rnacentral:rRNA from 1 species
CAGCCGCCGCGGGAAUACGAAGGGGGCUAGCGUUGUUCGGAAUUACUGGGCGUAAAGCGCACGUAGGCGGACAUUUAAGUCAGGGGUGAAAUCCCGGGGCUCAACCCCGGAACUGCCUUUGAUACUGGGUGUCUAGAGUAUGGAAGAGGUGAGUGGAAUUCCGAGUGUAGAGGUGAAAUUCGUAGAUAUUCGGAGGAACACCAGUGGCGAAGGCGGCUCACUGGUCCAUUACUGACGCUGAGGUGCGAAAGCGUGGGGAGCAAACAGGAUUAGAUACCCGAGUAGUCCCUGUCUCUUAUAC